rnacentral:misc_RNA from 1 species
GGAGCAUAAAUAUAAGCCACAAAAUUGGCCACCUCCCCAACGAUCAUUGAUAUCAUGCCUGUCCACCAAAGUGGUUCAAGCAAAUAAGCAUAGCCUCCAACUCCUGCUCGAGUGCCAGCAGCAGCAGCACGCUUUAGACCUUUCUUCUUCAAUAUAAAGCUUGUUCCAAUAAACAAGCUUGAUGAUAUCGCCAGAAUUAACCCUCUGGUAUUAUCCGAAAUCGCCAUCCUCUUCCUUACUUCUUCCGCUAUAAUAAUACAAAAUCCUUAUAAAAGGGAUCAGGAUAAUGACCAGGCAGCAAACUGAAGCUAGUAAUUGGAUACCGAUUCGGAACAAAACAAUCAAGAUCUUUGAGGGGGCUAGAAAAGGAGUAGUAAAUGUAUGUAUGGGUUUAUGUAAGGGAGAUC